GGGAACAAUUUAACAAUAAGACAAUAACAUUUGUAGUUGUGCUCUAAAAGGCAGAAUAACGAAGAAAAUAACAUUGUUAUUUCUGAAAUAUCGGGAAGAUUUCCGCAGUGCUACAACAUAGAUGAUUUAAAAGAAGCUUUAUAUAAUGGUGUCGAUCUUGUAAGCGAAAAUAAUGCAAGAUAUCCACAAGGCAUAUGGGGUUUACCAACUAGAGUAAUUUCUAUAUUUAUGGAUCCCAGACAUAGAAUACUCCUAGAAACUGUGUAUGAAAGUAUAAUAGAUGCCGGCUACAAUCCUAAUGAGCUUAGAGUAUCUAAAAUUGGCACCCUUGUCGGAGAUGUAGUUGAAACUGAAGUAAUUACAAAACAUUUGUGAAAAAGAUCCGAACCAGUAUUGGUUGGAUCCGUAAAAUACAAUGUUGGACAUAGUGAAGUUAGUGCAGGAUUGACUGGGAUAAAAAAAGUAAUCUUGGCAAUGGAAACUGGUGUCAUAUCAGCAAAUUUGCACACAGAAACUUUAGAUGGCAAUAUUCCUGAAAUUAGAGAUGAAAAGAUGAAGGUAGUACGAAAAAUACAAAAUGGAAGGAGGUGUUGCAGUUAUGUUAUUGUAGUUAUGGUUUUGGGUAUAGGUACCAACGCGCAUAUAGUAUAGCAGUCAUAUUUCUAGCAUUAGUUGAUGAAAUUCAUAGAACAAAUGAUAAUGGUCAUCAUUAUAAAGGAAACUAAUGCGAAUAAUGAAUGUGCAAGAGCUGCAGUUAUACACUUCAAUGUAGCUGAUUCUGAACGAGUAGCAGAAAAAAAUUUUUAGGAGAAGGAUACGUUACUAAUUAAAAAUAUCUACCGUGGGGAAUAAUUAAUCACAAGGCUAUUGGAGUGAUUCUUUUAAUACAACUUAUACAAGGACAACAGUAAAGAUUAAAAAUGGUCAUUGCAAUGAAUGUUUCUUGCAGAAGUGUUUCCAGAAAUGUCGACAAUAAAGCACAGCAUGUAUAUAAUCAGAUCAACAUAGACCCCAUAGUCGUGUGUGGUCUAAGUAUACAAUUAUAUACUAUAUACAAACUUGCUCCAGCCGUUUUCUUUAAAUGCUAUUAUUUUUGCUCCUCUUCAUGUUGUACCUCUUUUCUCAAGUAUAGUACGUAUUACUCAGUCCCAUGUUGCUUCAGGUCUCUUUUUUUGUUCUCACCUACUUUUGCUUCCCAUACUCUCUUCACUGGUCUUGAAUCUUUCAUUCUUUUUAAAUGACCCCACCUACUGUUUUUGCUCAAAGAAUUCUGUAAGAGACAUAAAUUCCAGAUCUUGUCAUAUUUGGUAAUUUGUUAAUCUAUCCUUUUUUGUAAUACUCCUGAAAUACCUCCAAUAUUUUAUCUUUGCUACUUGCAAUGCAUUUUUUAUGUAAUAGUGAGAGUCCAUAUUUCGCAGCCGUGAUAUUGGUCUAUAAAUUGCUUUAUAAACAUUAGCUGUAAUAUGUGUUCUAGGCUUUUUCAAUUCUUUUGGUAAUUUCUACAUCUUCAUUGCCUGUGUUUUCUAUUUCUGUUCCAAGGUAUCCAAAUGGGCUCACCGUUUUAAUUCUAUGUCCCUCCAUUUGUAAGUUUAUUGUUUGAUUCUUUUUUACAUUUAUUCUCAUAUCAAUUUGCUUUAGUGUUUUGUUCUAAAUGUCAAAGUUUUUCUGUAUAUCUUGAUCUUGCAAUAAGGUCUACAUCACUAGCAUAAGCUCUUUCAGAUAUUUCCAGUAUUUGCAGGUUUUUGCAUCCAACGCGCAUUUUCUUUGAAUUGGAUAAGCAGAUAUUCAUUAUCUCAUCUAGAAAUAUGGUAAAAUAUUGUAUUACUCCUUCUGUGAUUAGAAAAGCCCCUGAAGUGGAUUUUUAUCAAUAACAUAGUUCACAUCGCUAUUACAUAAGCUCAUGAUUGCAUUUCGUCAAGUCAACAUCUAUUUUCGUUUUAAAAUCUCAAUUUUACUAUUGUGUUGAAACCAGUAGAACUAAAGUUGAACACUAUGGAAUUAUUGAAUCGCAAACAUUUUUUUGCGGUGAUUUUACAUUGAGUGGAUUCAACCAACAGCAGCUUGCCGAUCAACUUGCUUCGACUUUUGGACAUGAAGCACCAUCUUAAGCGACCGGGUUUUCCGAUUUCAAUUGUGGUCGAGCUUCGCUACAGGAUGAAAUUCAGUGCAGGUCGUCCAAAAUCAGCUGUGUACCAUAAAACAUCGAUACUGUGCGUAAAGUGAUAUUGCAAGAUCGUCAUGUGGCAUACAGGGAGAUUGAGGCAUACUUGGGCAUUAGUUCCACUUCCAAACAUUCAAUAUUGCAUAGCUAUCAAAAGAUUUGUUCGUGUUGAAUAGGGCAUAAUUUGGCAAUCGCUCAAAUAAAGUCUCGUGUCGAUUGGAGCAAAUUGCCACCGCUCCAUUAGAGCCACGUAGAACGGUCAAUUCUAAAUGGUACACCAGCAUUUUUAUGCUGGAAGUGUUUGAAAAAAUAAGGAAGACCAAUCGGAGAAGACGAAUCAUUCUCUAUGACACAUCAGCUCAAACAAAAACAGUCAAAACAUCGAGUUGAUAGGUUAUCCGCCGUACAGUUUUUGUUUGUCAUCCAAUUAUUUACUUCUUAUUUCCACAUAUUUAAAAUAAAUUGUGAAAUCAACGUUUUUCUACGCCUCCAGAAGCUGUUGAUGUGUUCAAAUCACCUGUUAUGUAGGUACCUCAUUCGGAAUGAGAAAAAUGCUUCGUCAAUUGAUUCAACUGUUGCAAAAGUGGAAAAUACUUUGAAAAAUAAUAAAGCCAUAUUCAAUUAUAAA